rnacentral:lncRNA from 1 species
UUUUUUGUCUUUUAGGGCCAUAGGUGCAGCAUAUGGAAGUUCAAAGGCUAGGGAUCGAAUUAGAGCUGUAGCUGCUGGCCUGCACCACAGCCUCAGCAACAAUGGAUCUGAGCCACAUCUGUGAUCUACACCACAGCUCAUGGCAACACCAGAUCCUUAACCCACUGAGUGAGGUCAGGGAUUGAAUCUGUGUCCUCAUGGUUAAUAGGUUCAUUACCACUGAGCCACAACUAUAACUCUUCCCUAGAUUUUUAGAUCAUAAACAAUGGCAUAAGAGCCAAAGACAUGGUUGGGGUGGUUGGUUUGCCUGGUUUUCAAGAAUGGCACUCUGAACAAAGUGUCCCUUUUGCAAAUUAUGGUUGAAGUUCUUUUUGAUCUGUUGUAGUUUUCAAGCCAUAUUUUAUGAGUCCCUGAAAGACUUCUGACAGGUUCUCUUUUGCUUCAAUUAUCCCAAAUAAUUUUCUUUUCAUUUUGUUUCUUUUUACAGUCAGACCUACAGCACAUGGAAGUUCCCAGGCCAGGGGUUGAAUUGGAGCUGUAGCUGCCAGCCUGCAGUAACACUGGAUCUGAGUCACAUCUGCAACCUGCAACGCAGCUUGUGGCAAUGCUGGAUCCACUGAGCAAUGCCAGGGAUUGAACCCACAUCCUCAUGGACACUAUGUCAGGUUCUUAACCCACUGAACCACAAAGGGGAUGCCCUCCAAAUCAGUUUCUAUGUCAGGCAGCCAAUGAAUCUCAUUUGACAUACCCCCAGGGUUUCACAUCAAAUAUCCAGAAAUGGAUAUUGAUGGCCUUCAACUUCCUGUAACACUACUUUAAAAUUCCUCAUUACUUUAUCCCUUAUGAUCUAUUCACCUUCUGGAUGGGUUCCUUUAAACAGGACUUUAAAAAGACAAAAGAGUAUCAGCAAAAUAACGGAAGAACCCACAUCCUAAAUAUAAUGGCACAAGAAACAUCUCAAUAAAAAGUCAUGCUCCAGGUGUUCUCGCUGUGGCUCAGCAUAAACAAACCUGACUAGUAUCCAUGAGGAUGCAGGUUUGAGCCCCAGCCUUGCUCAGUGGGCCAAGGAUCCAGCAUUGCUCUGAACUGUGGUGUAGGUCACAGAUGUGACUCAGAUCUGGUGUUGCCACGGCUGUGACAUAGGCCGGCAGCUACAGCUCCGAUUCGACCCCUAGCCUGGGAACUUCCCUAAUGCUACACGCACAGCCCUAAAAAGCAAGACAAAAAAAAAAGAAGACAUAUUCCAAAAUCAACAAAAGUCAACAAUAAUAAAACUGACGUCUACAAUGAUGCAUAAUGAAGAACUGUAGGUACUCAAAAUUCAAAGCCAACAAACAAGAAAACAAACAACAAGAAAGAAAAGCUACAGCAGAAUCAGAAAAGGUACAGGUGGAAUCUCACUCGAUCUCACAUUUCACUGCAGCUUGACGAGUGAAACAAAAUGAAUUGAUUUUAUGACAAGGGCAUUCCAUCUGAGAAAAAGACACUUAGAUAAAACACCCCUAAGAACAAACACAGAAGUGUUUCUAACAAUAACUUUUGGGGCCUUGGGUUGUCCUAUCAGACUCUCGGGCAAGACGAUUAAAGAAAGCUGUUUUUUUCUCUUUUCUUUCCUUUUCUUUUUUAAUGUCUUUGAGAUUCACAAUUUUUAUGCUGACAAUUUUUCCCCGUAAUCAUGGCUGAUAAUGUCUCUACCACUGGGAAAUGUCCAAGUCUCAGAGCUUUUUCUCAGAUGAAAGUCAGACCUGUCACAUAUUUGAGGUUUAAGAUGGGAAAGGACAGUGAGGUUUGUUGGUGUGGGCUGCCUGGGAUUCAAAAUUCCUCUUUUUUUCCUUCUUACAGUCACACCUGCAGCAUAUAGAAGUUCCCAGGCUAAGGGCUGAAUCAGAGCUGCAGGUACCGACUGUGCCUCAGCCACAGCAGCGCCACACCCAAGCUGCAUCUGUGACCUACACUGCUGCUUGUGGCCACGCCGGAUUCUUAACCCACAGAGCAAGGCCAGGGAUUGAACCCGAAUCCUCACGGAGACGACGUUGGGUCCUUAACCUGCUGAGCAGUAUCCAUGAGGACGCUGGUUUGAUCCUUGGCCUUGCUCAGUGGGUUAAGGAUUCAGCGUUGCUGGGGGGCAGGUCACAGAAUCAGCUCGGAUUCUGUGUUGCUGUGGCUGUGGCGUAGGUGGGCAGCUGCACCUCUGAUUUGACCUCCAACUUGGGAAUCUCCAUAUGCUGCAGGCGCAGCCCUAAAAUUUUUUUUUUUUAAUUAAAAAAAAAAAAUCAAACCAGAAACUGUGAACAGUAAGGAGACCAUCUCUUUUCCCCCCUGCAAAGCUCAUGGGAGGGUUUCAUUCUAAUCUGCAUCAUGGUCUUUUGCGUCCAUAACAGGAAGAGCCACCAAGCGGGUCUCCCCAGUUUUCUAAAGCUGCAUUUCUGACUGCAAAGCCAGCUUCCUCCACAGCGGCCACGGUUGCUCUUUGCUCAGGUUCUCUCUGAAGACCUGGUCUCCCUUCCCUGGAAUGGAGAGGAGUGUCUCCCAAAUCAGUCCCAAGUCCUCAAAUGUGUGUGCUGGGUCUGUUUUGUGGCACAGAGUGGGGAAAAGGGAAAUCGAGGAAGCAAGCGAAAAGGAAACUUAUUCUGGCAGCUGUAUAAGCAGAGCAGAGAUGGACAAGCCACCUAGGGCCCCACAAGCCAGCUCGAGCGACCCUGGGCAUCAGCAGGGUCCAAGGGGCUCUCUUGGAACAGGGUCACCAAAACAGUGACAAAGGGAGAAAUGGGCUCACAUGUCUUCGAGGCUGCCCUUCAUUCAAAAAAUUAAUUAGCUAACUUUGAAAAGGCACUCCUUCCCCUCUUUGGCUAUUUUCUUUUUUCUUUCUUUUUUUUUUUUAUAUACACCCUUUUCCCCUGAAAGAAUAAAACUCCCUGUACGGCUGCUAUAUGAGUGUCCUAAAGCUGCCAAAAUAAAGUACCACAAAGUGAGUGCCUUACACAAGCAGGACCUUAUACUCUCACAGCUCUGAGGCUAAAAUCAAGUCCAAAAUCAAGGUGCUUGUAGGACUCCACUCGCUCCGGAGGCUCAGAGAGGAGGCUGUGGUCCAGCCUUUCUCUUAUCUCCGCCAUCCCUGGCAUUCCUGGCUUGUAGAAGCAUCAUUCCCAUCCCUCACCCUGUGAGCUCUUUCCCUCUG